rnacentral:rRNA from 1 species
GCUCGUAGGCGGUUUGUUGCGUCGGCUGUGAAAUCCCGAGGCUCAACCUCGGGUCUGCAGUCGAUACGAGCAAACUAGAGUGUUGCAGGGGAGACUGGAAUUCCUGGUGUAGCGGUGAAAUGCGCAGAUAUCAGGAGGAACACCGGUGGCGAAGGCGGGUCUCUGGGCAACAACUGACGCUGAGGAGCGAAAGCGUGGGGAGCGAACAGGAUUAGAUACCCUGGUAGUCCACGCCGUAAACGUUGGGCGCUAGGUGUGGGGCUCAUUCCACGAGUUCCGUGCCGCAGCUAACGCAUUAAGCGCCCCGCCUGGGGAGUACGGCCGCAAGGCUAAAACUCAAAGGAAUUGACGGGGGCCCGCACAAGCGGCGGAGCAUGUUGCUUAAUUCGAUGCAACGCGAAGAACCUUACCUAGGCUUGACAUGCACGGAAAUCUCGCAGAGAUGCGGGGUCCGUAAGGGCCGUGCACAGGUGGUGCAUGGUUGUCGUCAGCUCGUGUCGUGAGAUGUUGGGUUAAGUCCCGCAACGAGCGCAACCCUCGUUCUAUGUU